UUUUAUUGUGUCGUUUGGCUGCACUCGGCUUCAGCCAAGCGCUUGCACUCAGUGACACGGAAUGUUGUUUACAUAAAGGACGUGGAGACAGCAGCUGAGAUUUGCGGUGGAAAAUACAGCAAACAGCUGUCAGGUGCUGCAUGCAUAUAAUCCAGAGUUAUCUACAGAAAACAUAUGCAACAAUUUCUAAACAUGUAGCUGUUCACAAAGAAUUUGAACCAUUCCAGUGUUGACGCAGGCAGCAAGUGUAUGGACC